rnacentral:lncRNA from 1 species
AGGUCAAAAGACAUCAGUACAUUGAAUGUACGAGUAUGUAAUAAAGGUGAAUGGAUAAAUAAGUGGAAUGAUAAGGCUAAAAGAAUGCUUUCCUCAACUAUAUUCAAUACAAAGCAAUGAUAAGAGAUGAAAAUAUUUAAAGCAUCAUAAAUAAAAGAUUUUAACUCAUUGAUGUUUAUAAAAAUAUAAUAAAAAUAAUCUUUACUCUUAUUUGAGAGAUUCUCUAACCAACAACCAUCACUAUGAGCUAUGUGAUGAUACAAUGUCUCUCCCACGGUUCCAGUACUGUCAUAUGCCUUGUCGGGGUAUUGAACACCUCAACUAAGUGGAUCCACUAAACCUCUGCUUGAAAGCAAUAAAGAGUCAAUAAAAAGUACAAUCCCUUACCUAUGUAAGAUGUGCAUUAAGAUUAAGAUAUCAUAAUCUGAAUAUUAAGAUGUAGUUUCUAUGUAUAAUUAUUGAAUCAUUAAGAUUGUUUAUUUUUAAUAACUGAAUGUGCAUAAUUUAUUUCAUUUUAAAAUUAAGAAUUAAGCAUUGUAUGGAUAAAAGUUAUAAUCCAAACAAAAGUUAACUUCUUCCAAAAAAUUGUUUCAAAAAUAAGUUUAUAACCCACCCUAGAAAAAAAUUUAUUCAUUUGUUUUCUCAAAAAAAAUAAUCUCAAGAAACAAUGAUACCUUCUUUAACAACAAACAAAUUGUGAAAAGAAGAGUCCUUCAUAAAUAUCAAUUCACCCAAGAAUAUUGUAUAUAUUAAAAACAUUAGAUAAAUACUUGUAAAAGAUUAUGAAAAGUUAUUUAUUAAAAGAAAAUGGUACUUGGUUGAAACUAUCCCAGAAGAGAAGCAAGGAAGAAGAGAAUUUGUUUUCGAAAGAACACUUAUUAUUUUAAUAGAGUCUGAAUGGUAUUAAAGUCUCAUUUGUUUUCACUUAAUGAAGGUCUGAAUUUGAAUGAUUUAAACAUUGGGCCAUUAAGUGCGUUUGUUUUCUUUUUGAAAAAAAAAAUCACUUAAUGGGUCUGAAUGAAUCUGAUUUGCUCAGAUAUAUGAGGGAGUCUUAUUUCUAUACAGACUCUUUUUAACGCUAAUUUAUUUCCCCAUAAAGCUCACACAUAAUUUUUUUUCUCUCUCGAUAUGUUGCCUCUCUCUCCUAUUCUCUUCAUUAUCAACAUAAAUUAUUUUUUUUUCUCUUAUAUACAUUGCCUCCCUCCCCUCUCUCCAUGGAGUUGAAUUUUUUUCCUAUUGAACAAGUAUGUCUUAAAAAAAAAUGUUUUACAAGUACUUUGUUCAUUAAUAUGUAUCUUAAAAAUAUUCUUGGUAUUAUUGUUUACUUCUUAUGAACUCUGAAAUUUUGGUUGCAAAUUUAUAUUUUGUUUAUAAAAUUAGAGGUCUUGUGUGUGCUUAUUCAAUAAUACAAAAUAUGCGCUAAAAAAGUUUAGGUAUUAUCUUUUUCUUCUUGUUUUUUCCAAAAGAAUUGUGGUAAUAAGAGAAUCUAAAUAAAAUUAGAAGCCUAACACCAAAUUAUAACAAAAGGCCUUAAAUAUUUACACACAUGCACAAAAAUAAUAUUAAUUUUGGGUUACCUUUUCUAUUCUUACAUACUAAUUAUUUUUUGUUUAUAUUCUAAAGAGGCCCUAAGCGUUUAACCUCACAUAGUAAUAUUAUUAUUUAUAAAACUAAGAAUUUGUUUUAGUUAAAAAGGUUAGACAUUUGUUUGUGUUGCCUUUUUUUUAUAUAUUCUUAUAUGUUUUUGGAUCUAUGUCAAGAAUGUCUGAAUAAAAUUAGUAGCCUAACACCAAAUUAUCACAAGAGGACUUAAAUAUUUAUAUACAUAUAUAAUAAUAUUAUUAAUUUAGGGUUGCCUUUUUUAUUCUUACAUACUACUUGUUUUUUUGUUUAUAUUCUCAAAAGAGACUAAGCAUUUAACUUCACAUAGUAAUAUUAUAAUGUAUCAAAGUAAGAACUAGUUGUAGCUAAUAAGAAGUUAGACAUUUGGCUGGAUUGCCUUUUUUAUUCUUGUAUGUUUUUGGAUCUUUGCCAAGCAUGUCUCAGUAAAAUUACUAGUCUAUCACCAAAUUAUAAAAAGAGAACUUAAAUAUUUACACACCUGCACAAAAAUAUUAAUUAUUAAUUUAGACGUGCAUUCAGAUGCCAAAAUCAAACAAUCUUAAUCAUUAUAUGUUCUGAUCUAGUGAGAAUAUCUUAACCAUUUAGACAUACAUUUAGAUUUAGACGUUUUAAUCUUAAUGAAAACAAAUGAGGCCUAAGACUCAAUUAUAGAUAUGAUUCAUUCAGACCCAUUAAGAGGUUCUUUAAAAAUAGAAACAAAUGGACUUAAUAGGCUGAAUAUGAAUGAUUAAGAUUCAGACCUCCAAUAAGUGCCAACAAAUUAUUGGAAAAAUGAUUCUAGUAUCUCCAAAGGAAUUAUUUUAUUUCCUAUUAUAUUUGAAAGAGAAUAUUCUUUAUUUCCUAAAUAUUUUCUCUCCAUAAAUAAUAUUCUAUUGCCAUUAUUAUUGUCCUUUAAUUAGCCAUUAUUUUCUGUCAUAAUAUGGUUGUUGCCAACGACUCUUUGAUGAAAAUGUAUUGCCUUCAAUUCAUUGAUUGUAUUCAAUGCCUUUAUGGUUUUUUGACUAUUUCAACCAUUGAUAUAUUAGAGAGGUUACUGAUUUUCCUAUAUAAAUCUAAGUCGCAUACUUGUGGUGUGGGAUAGAAGAGAAGAUGAUAAUUCUUCUUUUAAUAUAUUAUUUUGCUGAAUUUUCUUUCUAUUGAAUCUUUGUUAGUUUUUGGCUCCUAGUUUUACAAUAGAAGAGCUUGUUGAAUCUUGGGGGAUAAAUCUAUACCGGGUGAAAUAUCCUUAAGGACACUUUCUUUCGACACGCCUCAAGCUAUGAGAAUUCCCUAUAAGAGUUCGUGGUGAAGUACACGGUUUGGUGAAUUUUGUACAAGUGUUCAUUAUGAAGGUAUUUUCCGUAAGAUUUCUAACAAUCUUAAGGAUAUUUUAAACUUUGUUCUUACGAAAAACAAUAUCUCUCUCUUUGAAAAUAAUCAUGAAGAAGAUUGUAUCAUUUAAGUCUCUCUUGUACAAAUUUUCCUCACGAUGCUUGUCAAUUGUUUGGACGUUAUUUGCAAUAGCUAGCAUACCAAUUUUUUUUUAUUGAAUUUGUUAAAGUUUGCAAAGUGAAGAGGGGGGGGGGGGGGGGGGGGGGGGGGGGGGGGGGGGGACAGAAAGAUGGAUUUGAAAAUAUAUUGAAAUAGGGGUACCAAUUGUGUGAUUUAAUUUGUAGGAGGAAAAAAAAGAGAAAGAAAGGGAGAGUGGAAUUCUGGUCGGCCUGAAGGUGCGCUACUUAAUUGACGUUUCCUACUUGGAUGUUGCUCUUCUCAAAUUUACUAUAUAAACUAGAUAGAUAAGUCCUUAUUAUGGAGGAUCGGUUGUGCUAAUAAUCUAAAGUAUGUACCACACUUCUUUACGAUUUUAAUGGAUGUGUAUGUGGUAAAUUAAGUUAUCAUCUCCCUCAAUAGAGAAGAAGAUUUGAAAAAAUGAGAAUCCCGCUAAGUAACAAUAAAUUUGACUAAGCGGAUGAUAUAAAUUGGUGUGGUCAUUUUUCGAGCGAAUCUUAUGCCUAAAAUGUGAAAGUGAGAGAUCGGUGUUAGACUUUGGUGUUUUUGAAGCAUAUUUGUGCUAACUAAAAUUAUUGUGUCUUCACCCAAAUUGGAGAAGAAGAAAAAAUUAUAUAUGUUGGUGAUUCUAGAACUACUUGAAGUUCUUAGAAUGAAAAGUUCUUUUUAAAUAUUCACAUUUAUAUAUUGGAAUUAUCUGAGGUGAUAUAUUAUUUUAAUAUUUGUGCUAGAUUAGUACUUGGAAUUUUAUGAGUAAAAGUUGAUUAUUGUGAAUUUGUGAAAAGAUUUAAUGAAUGUUUUUUUUUUAAUAUGAUAAUGUGUUAACAAAUGUCAUUAUUAGCAAUGAUGGUAUAUUAAAAAUGAUUUAUUUGUGGCUAAUAUUGUUCAAGAUGAAAAUGCUAGUGCCUAUAUUUAGUUUAUUGAUUCAUUUGAAUUGUGAUAUAUUAAAUGUGUACAUUUUAAUUAGUGUGUAUAUAUAUAUAUACAUAGUACCUUUUCUUCUUGAAUGACCAACUAAUGAAAUGACCGUUUUUGUUAACUCUUAAUUGCUCAUAUUAUUUACUCUUAAUUGAAAUUUAGUACUGUAACUUAAAGUCUAACUAUGUGAAAGAGAUAUUUCUAGCUUAUAUAUGUCUAUAUAUGUGUUUUUCGCUUGAAAAAGUGUAUGAUUUUUGUUGAGAAAUAAAAAUUUACUCAUUUGAUAUAUUUCAAUAUGUUAUUGUGGCAUACAAAAUUGAAAACUUUCUGAACAUUGAAAAAGUUUCCCUCUUUUAUGAAAUAUAUGAAACUGUAGGGGUGUCUUACUAAGGUUGUGUUACAUAAUCCUAUGAAAGAAAAACUAGAAUUUAAGUUUCUUGAUCGUAUGCUAAUAAAUACUGCAUAUACAUAUUUGUAGUACUCGAUUGUGAUGUGAUUGAAUGCACUAUUAUAGUGGGAAAAAUAAUAAUUUAUAGUUGAGAGUUUUUUAAAGUGACUAUAUUCUUCAUGUUCUUGUUGAAAAUGAUAUUGUUUCUUGAUGUGUUAAUUUUGGAAAGAAGUUAUAAGUGAUACACAGAAGUACCAAAUAAAUUGAAUAUUUUGUUAUACCAGAAGUGUACAAUGAUGAAAUGUGAAUCUCAAAAUUCACUAGUGACUAUGAACUAUGAUUGGUGUGUGGUGCCAUAACAUGAAAAAUUAACUAAAUAAAGUCAGUUGUUGUGGAGUUGAUUGGUGAUGAGACUAAGUGGUUAAGACAACUCUUACUGUGUAUUCAAAUUGGAAUAAAAUCAAUGUUUUGCGCGGCUAACUUAGAUACAUGUUUUUGAGACACAAUGUUAUAAAGUACUAAAGUGAGAUUAAAUUAUUCACAUAAAUUGUGUGUAGUCGGAGGUGAAUCUGAUUAAUUCACUGACUAAAUGAAAUAUCGAGGGGAGUAAGACCUUUAGUCAUUUGAGAAGAUCAACAAUGAUGGUAACCCAACCUUUGUGGUUGGAAAUCCCAUUAAUUAGGUUCAUAUGGGUAAUAACAAGUCAUUAGUUGAUCAAGUAAGCACUAUAUAAUUAUGUCCCUCCUAUGAUGUGUGAAUAUAGUGCAACAAUCUGCAAGGCAAAGUGAGGCUGAGUUAAACUCUUAAUCCAAGUCAUAUCCUUUAUAGGUGGUGUAUUGCUCUGCAGGAUACACUUGAUGAUUGGACCUAUAUGAGUGUGAAGUGGUGUCGCUUCUAUGAAAUUGUGAUAGAUUUCUAGAGCACUCAUGAAUAUUAGGACAUGCGCAUGGCCUCUUAGCAGAAAACCACAAUAACGACAAAGAUUGUGGGAGUUUAAUGUGAUAGAAUAAGACGCUGGACUUACAAAAGAAUUAUUGAUUCAUAGUAGUUCUAAACUUCACCAGUUGUUCUGUAAGUUUAAUCUUGUUCUAUCUAGGUCUGGUUCAUAGUAUAUGGGCACCAUAUUCGAUGCGUUGUACUCAUAUGUGACAACCCAGUAAAACUUCUCAUUUCAUUUUAUUCCUUAAGAUUAUGUUUUAGAUAUGUUGGGGAUUGUUGGAAAAAUUGUUACAGAGAAGGGUUAAAAUUCUGCAUUGAAAGGCAACUCACUCCUAUCAUAAUUGAGGCAGACUCCCUUACCAAGGUGAAUAUUUUGGAUGGUAUUUGGAAAGUUCCAUGGAGUGUGACAUUGGAGGUCAACUCGAUAAACAAAUUAAGGGAAGGAGUGGGGGUUACUAUUCAACAUGUCUUGAGAGAAGGGAAAACUCUGGUGGAUAUUUUUGCUAACCUAGUUUUUUAUUUUGCAGGUGAUUUUCAGAUGAAUAAUUUUCAAGAAGUCCCAUCUUAUGGGAAAAAAUCAUUAAUCUAGACAAGCAACAUACUGCAAAUCUGAGAGUAAGGCAAGUUAACAGAGAUCAACUGGAGCAAGCUAACUCCUGCAAGCCAUAGAUCACUCUAGCAUAAAGCAUAGACAGUAAGAUUUUCAUAUCAUAAGCAGUUAAUAGCAUUUCAUGAUUGGUCGUUUGGAACCAUCGCACCUGGUGAGAGCUUGAGGUGUUCGUGGUGGUUGCACACCAAGGCAAAUAGACAUUUUGUGCAGUAUGAACAUCUGCUAUCCAACAAUCUUUUUAUCUAUGAGCUACAUCAAGUAUUUGCAGAUUUAUUAUCUAUCAAGUUAAUGUACAUAAUCUCACUGGACAUUUCAGCUAAUGUCAUCUUUCUAAAGUGUGGUAUUAGCCUCUACGGAAGCUCAUUCACUAGGAAGGAUGACAAGAGAUGAGGUGUUAUACAGUUUCCACAAAGAGAGUACAGAUCUGAAAAGUAUAGUUAACAAGAUAAGUGGUCAAAGAUAAAACCUGACUUCAAAUCUGAUAUUGCAACACACCGUCUUGCAACACACCGUCCUGACUUGCUCAGACGAAUCUUCAACCGACAUUUCUAAGUGAUGGAUGACUUAUGUCUCAGAUCGAAGUUACAAAGAUGAAAUCUUGAAAUGCAUAUGUUGAUGAUGAGUUAAGAAGUCCAAAUCGUUGAUGAAGUUCUGGAAAGGUUUCCUAUUUGAUUCUAAUGGUUAUUGUCUUCUCUUUGAUUUUUUUAAUUUGUUUAUUUUAAGUGUUAGAAGACUUUGGGAAUUUGGACCGAGUCUUUUGGAGGUGAUGUGGGCCUUUUGGCUUUUUCUUAAUAAAUUAUGGUCAUUGACCAUUUUUUAUUUUAAAAAAAAGUAUACUUGUGGUGUGGGAGAGAAGAAAAGGUAAUAAUUAUUCUUUUAAUAUAUUCUUAUGAUGG